rnacentral:rRNA from 1 species
AGGAUGAACGCUGGCGGCGUGCCUAACACAUGCAAGUCGAACGUCCUGUCUCGCAAGAGGCAGGGAGUGGCGGACGGGUGAGUACCACGUGGGUCAUCUACCGUGAGGUGAGGAAUACCGGCGAGAAAUCGCCGACAAGACCGCAUAGGCUCGAUGCAAGUCGAGCAAAGCUCUUUCGAGAGAGGGAGCGCCACACGAGGAGCCUGCGCCCGAUUAGCUAGCUGGUGGAGUAACGGUUCACCAGGGCGACGAUCGGUAGCUGGUCUGAGAGGACGAUCAGCCACACUGGGAUUGAGAACGGCCCAGACUCCUACGGGGGGCAGCAGUGAGGAAUUUUCGUCAAUGGGGGCAACCCUGAACGAGCAACGCCGCGUGCAGGAAGAAGGUUUUCGGAUCGUAAACUGCUUUUCUGUGGGACGAGCAAGGACGGUACCACAGGAAGAAGCCCCGGCUAACUACGUGCCAGCAGCCGC